CUCUUGCUUAGUGAUUGGAUUCGGGUACAGUCGGUGUUGGAUUGAAGUGGUGAGCUUCCAUAGUUCAAAAAUCAUCUGUUUUAUGUCACAGUUUACUUUACAUAAUUCUUGUCUUUCAUAAACAAUGGUUUUGGAUAUGGUCCGGACAAGGUACUCUUUGGUUGGUCUAGAGGCUUUGUAUGGACAACUGUAGACUUGGGUAUGGUAUGGGCUGUUUUAGUUAAAAAUAUACAUUAGCUUAUUAUCAUGGUAUUUAGUUUUAUGGCUUCCGCAUUGGUUUAGUUGGUUAUUGGGUGGUUGGAAUUGAUUUGGUUGGUCUCGGUUAUAGACUUAUCCCAGAGUCUCUACAUGGUUGUACACAUUAUCUUAUUAUAUGCUAGAACUUCAGUCGACUCAAGGUAUGUGUUUGGUGGUUGGGUUAGAUAACAGGGGCAGUUUUCGAUCCUGGUUGGGCUUGGGAUUACCCAUUACGUAUAGGCCCUGUUUUGGGAUAGGAUGGAAGCAGAGUAGUAUUUUGGGAUAGAGGUAAGGAGUAGAGCCCGGUGGCCUAGGUUAACUCCUUUUUGUUUGAAUAGGCUUGAACAUGGAAGUGGUGGUAUAUAGUUAGACUUUAGCUUUCGUAGUGAUAUGUCUUGGUAAAUUCUAAGUUGGAUUGGACUUACUCUCUAGCAUGAGUCCAUUUAUUUGGUAUUCUAUGUAUUUGUGUUGGGGUAAGGUGUGAUUGGUUCCUUUGGGUGGUAUAUCUCUAAUUCCUUAUUCUUUAAAGGGUAAUGUUGGAUUGGUAAGUUCGCCGGUUGUGAACAAAAUAUGUGGCUUUGGUAAAGGUUCCAUAGUGGAGCUAAAAGCCCGAGAAAGCCAUUUGGGAUGUGGAAGUGGACAUGGAAGUCCAAAUCUCCUCGUUUGUUCUUUGUUCCAAAAAUUCGUGCGUGAGGUGUGUGUUCUUCGAACACAUCCUUGUUUUCUAACUUGGUUAAGGGUGAGGAAUGGUUCCACUUGUCCUGACUAGGUACUCUUUGGUUGGUUAGAGGCUUUGUAUGGACAAUUGUGGACUUGGGUGUGGUAUGGGGUGUUUUAGUUAUAAAUAAACAUUGGCUUAUUAUCAUGGUAUUUAGUUUUAUGGAUUCUGCAUUAGUUUGGUUGGUUAUUGGUGGUUGGACUUGAUUGAGUUGGUCUCGAUUAUAGACUUAUCACAGAGUCUCCACAUGGUUGUACACGCUAUCUUGUUAUAUAUUCGGACUUCAGCCUACUCAAGGUAUGCAUUUAGUGGUUGGAUUGCGUAACGGGGGCGAUUUCCGGUCCUGGUUGGGCUUCAGAUUUCCCAUUACAUCUAGGCCUCGAUUCGGGUGGUGACACAAGUCAUAUUUAAGCCUUUUCUUUUAAAAAAAAAGAAAUUAUCGAAAAGCCCCUAUAAUUUGGUGGAUAGUACCUGUAAAUUUGAAGGCUAUUUAUCCGAGUAAAAAUUAAUGUGGAUAAGCAGAAAAAAACCGUUUUAAAGCCCGAUUAAUACAAAUUUGAGCCCGAAAAUCUCACUUUCCAAUUUAUUUGGAUUCUUGUUAGAAUGUUAGUUAUUGCAUUGUAUUUUCUUUGUUACCUAAGAACAAUGUUUGUCUUGGCUUUAUUUUAUUAUGCCCAUUAUUAAAUUUCUUGUCACGAAACAAAGAAAAACAUUAUUUUAUGUAACUAUUUAUUUAAUGUGAUUGGUUAUAAUCUUAUUAUUGUUUCAUUUUUCCAUUAUUUAUUAUUUAAUAAUUUUAUUUGUCCUUUAUCUCGUAUCUCACUUUUAUUUUAUAUUAUUGCACGUCUAUUCUUCAGAUUAUUAUUGUGUGACAUUGUGAAUCAAUAAAAAAUAAUACAAUCACUACAAGAAAACUGUUUAUUAGAGACCACAAUUUAGGGAUAACUUGUAAAUACGGUCCCUAAAAAUAUCCUUUUAGGGAUGACAUUAUUUAGUGGUCUCUAUACAUGUACAAAAAUUCAAUUAAGCCCGUGGGAAAAAAUUAUCUGAUCGGCAAAUGUGAAAAAUUUAGGCGGGAGUCACGGGCGGGAUAUGAAAUAUAUUUUUAUAUAAUAAGUGAAUAAACACUAAAAUGUUUCUCUCUCUAGAAGAAGGUCCUACUGAUCGAUUCUCUCUCUUUCACUGCCAAAAUAGACAACUCUCUGUCUUACCCUCCGAUGAAGUAUAAUCCCUAAAUCUCAUUGCCUAUAUUCCUAAAUCGCUCAUUGAUGUCACUCAAAAGUUGAAGGUUUUGCUCGUGAAAAAGAUAUUAUUGGAAAGUUUUAUAGAGAAAUCUGCGAGGUGAGUUUGAUUAUUUGAUUUAAUUAAUUUCUUAAAAUUGAGUUUAUUUAUUAAUUAGGUCAGUGUUUGUCAGGAGUUAAUUUUAAUUUGUUUGCAGAGAUCUAUGUAUUAGUCAGAAAUGGGAUUUUAGGUGUAAUAGUAGUUCUUAUUUCAUUAAUUGAGAUAUAAACUAUUUUAAUUAUGUUAAAUUAACAUGAAUCUGCACUUCAUAUCUACUGGAUGCCAUUUUUUGAUUUGAAGAUUUGCUAAUUUCUAUCGCUUUCUAUAGAUAUGGAGCAGUUAAAUGCAGUGAAAGAGGCAUUGCAUGCGUCUAGGGCUCCAUCAAAUCUUUUGUGUAGAGAAACUGAGAAAAAUAGAAUUCUGGAGUUUUGUAAGCAAGUUGUGGAACAAGAGAAGGUAGAAAUUUUGAAUAUAUUUGUGGCUGCCUCAAUGGAAAAGGUUAACAACAUCCUGGUUAAUUGGGAAGAAGAAGAGCUUAAAAGAAUGGUAAUUGCUGGAUUCUUGAUUCCAGGGCGUUUAUGUUGUUUUUGCCUUUUGCUCUGCUCUAAUUUUGGGUGCUCUCAAAAGUUAGUACCAACUUUUUUUUACCUUUCAAGAUUUUUUUCUACUGUAUGAUUUUUUGAUCCUGUGGAAACAGACUCUGACAGAAAUGCAGUGUAAGGCUGCGUACAAUAGACACUUAUGAUCUGGCCCUUCCCCGGACCUCGUGUAUAGCGGGAGAUGCCAUUUUUUUUCUUUUUUUGAAUGAUUUUGUGAUCAUGGUCUGUGUUACUAUUAAUACUUAUGGUUCUCAAUUCCAUAAUUUUCUGAUUGCAGGUGUGCUGGUAGGUCCAAUUGCUGGCCUAAUACUUAUUUUAGGAAACAUUGGGGUGAUUUUAUGUCUCUUCCCAGCACAUGUUUUCUGGAUAGUAUACACCCUUGUCAAGUAAAUGUCUUCUUUUAGGACAUUCAUUUAAGUUGUCCAAAGUUGAAUUCUCUAUUUUCUAAUAUGGAUUUCAUGACAGUUGGACAGGACUAAUAGGUUUGAUGCACCACUUAAAGUUGCUUUAUUGUUCGCUUUGCCAGCUUUAUUUAGUAUUUGGUUGGGAUUAAGCAUAGCUGGUAGUGUUCUUUUUGGAGUUGGAUAUGGAUUCUUUGCUCCUUGGGUUUCUUCCUUUGAAGCUUUUAGACAUGACGAUAAAUUUAACAAGUUUGUUCAUUGUAUUGUUGAUGGAACAUGGGGAACCAUAAAAGGUAGCUAUGCAUAUGGUAGUGAACUGUAAGGAACGAGUAUAAUCCAGCCAUAACUAUACAUUCUGUUCAGAAUGAAUAUAAUCUAGCCAACCUUUCUCUCUCUCUGUACCUUCUCUUUAUCUCUCUUACUCUCUCUAUUAUGGAUGCCGCCGAUCGGCUACUACACGACCCCUUUCCUUCCUCCUCUCUACCACCAACAAAACCCCAACCCUAGUCAUCAUCAUUGCUUCAGAUUCGAGCCCCAACCACAGAAAUUCAUGAGUUGCUUCUGAGUUUUACUGAAGCUGAGGUAAAUAUUGUGAGACUAAAAGGCAGUGUUCCGUUGGUAUUUCGAUGGGGUAGAGAAGAGAUGGAUUUUCUUCAACAAAAGGAAAGUACCUCCAUAAUAAGCACAGGAUUGCAACUUCAAGUAAAUCACGUCUUUAUUCUGAACUAUACUGGAAACGUUAAUCUUCACAAAGGGGAAAACAGUCUCAGCCGUAGGAAAUCAUUAUUGGAUCAUUAGUUGGGGCUUUCGCUCUUCUUCUUGCUACUAUUGUCUCUUGCAUACUACUUCAAAAAGGACAAAAAACCUCUCUUAAAGAAAGGCCACGUUGAACUGAAUUUACCUCCUCAAAGGUUUGUCUCUUCCUUGGGAGAUCCUGCAACAGAAGCAGCACACUGCUUUACAAUUGUUGAACUUGAAGAAAUGACCAAGGACUUUGAGAAAAUGGUUGGAUCAGGGGGAUUUGGAGUUGUAUACUAUGGGAAAUUGAAGGACGGAAAGGAAAUUACUGUCAAAGUUCUUACAAAUAAUUCCUUUCAGGGUUGCUCUGCUUUCAAGAAUACAUCACAGAAACCUUGUACAAUUUCUGGGAUUUUGCCCGGAAGACCGGAAGAGUAUCCCUGUGUACGUAUUCAUGCAUAAUGGAACUCUUAAAGAACACCUCUAUGGUCCUCAGAUACCUGAUCGAAGUAUUAAAUGAUUUGAUUUACGAACAGACUCCACCUACACUUUCAGUUGUAAAAUAUUUUAUAGGUGAGAGUGGGCUAGUUAUGCCUUUCUUAAGUUAAUACAUAAGGUCGAAGUGAAAUCUAAUUCUUCCAUACAUACAACUUGAGGUAGACCUCGUUCUAGUCCUUACAUUAGCUGUUUCUAAGUUAAUACAAUAGUAUUUUAUAUGGGCUUGUCAACUCUUCCUUUCCUAGCCUCAAAGCUUAUACAUCACGGGUUGCCAGCUAAUACACCAGUUGUUUUCGUUGAGGGAGGAACAACACCUCAACAACGCAUGGGAACGGUCCUUUAAAUGAUGGAUAAUUAUUGAUUAGGCGUCUGAAGCUGAUUAUCAUCAUUGCUGAGACCUUACAAUAUAAGCUAGGAAUGUUAGAUUUAGGAUUAUGUAACCAGUUAUAUGAUAUUUAUAUAAUGACUAGAUGAUAAUUAAAGUGUAAAUACAUUUGUUUGUAAUAUAUCCAAAACUUUUCUUUAUAUA